rnacentral:misc_RNA from 1 species
GUCGUAACAAGGUUUCCGUAGGUGAACCUGCGGAAGGAUCAUUACCACACCUCUUUUUAUACCUAAUAACUAGUAUAGUAUUCUCGGAUAAUAUAUCAAGUGUUAGACUAUGAAAAACAAGAGAAAGAUGCGAGUGAAAUAUCUCAAGUCCGACUUUUGCGCCCCACGUAACCGUAUUAAAACUUGUGGUGUCUUCGGAUGCCCAUUUUUAACACAAACACAUUACAUUUCAUUAUGUACUGAUCAUGAUUUUCAAUAAUUAGAAGUUAGCGAGUUUACUCUCCCUAAUGACUAUAACAAAUUAAUGAAAAAACACUUUCAGCAACGGAUGUCUUGGCUCCCAU